UACGUAGGGUGCAAGCGUUGUCCGGAAUUAUUGGGCGUAAAGAGCUCGUAGGCGGUUUGUCGCGUCUGCUGUGAAAACCCGAGGCUCAACCUCGGGCCUGCAGUGGGUACGGGCAGGCUAGAGUUCGGUAGGGGAGACUGGAAUUCCUGGUGUAGCGGUGAAAUGCGCAGAUAUCAGGAGGAACACCGAUGGCGAAGGCAGGUCUCUGGGCCGAUACUGACGCUGAGGAGCGAAAGCGUGGGGAGCGAACAGG
rnacentral:rRNA from 1 species